UGGGGAAUCUUCCGCAAUGGACGAAAGUCUGACGGAGCAACGCCGCGUGAGUGAAGACGGCCUUCGGGUUGUAAAGCUCUGUGAUCCGGGACGAAAGAGCCUGAGGUAAAUAGCCUAAGGAAGUGACGGUACCGGAAAAGCAAGCCACGGCUAACUACGUGCCAGCAGCCGCGGUAAUACGUAGGUGGCAAGCGUUGUCCGGAAUUAUUGGGCGUAAAGCGCGCGCAGGCGGCUUACUAAGUCCAUCUUAAAAGUGCGGGGCUUAACCCCGUGGUGGGAUGGAAACUGGAAAGCUGGAGUAUCGGAGAGGAAAGUGGAAUUCCUAGUGUAGCGGUGAAAUGCGUAGAGAUUAGGAAGAACACCGGUGGCGAAGGCGACUUUCUGGACGAAAACUGACGCUGAGGCGCGAAAGCGUGGGGGGCAAACAGG
rnacentral:rRNA from 1 species